UACGAAGGGGGCUAGCGUUGCUCGGAUUGACUGGGCGUAAAGGGCGCGUAGGCGGUUCGUACAGUCAGACGUGAAAUCCCUCGGCUUAACCGGGGAACUGCGUCUGAUACUGGAUGGCUUGAGUUUGGGAGAGGGAUGCGGAAUUCCAGGUGUAGCGGUGAAAUGCGUAGAUAUCGAGAGGAACACCGGUGGCGAAGGCGGCCUUCUGGACAGUGACUGACGCUGAGACGCGAAAGCGUGGGGAUCAAACAGG
rnacentral:rRNA from 1 species